rnacentral:lncRNA from 1 species
CUCUCCCUCUCCCUCUCUGUGCUCUCCCCCCUUCUCUUCCCAUCGAUGAGCCCGUCAUCGCCAUCGUCCAUCGUCUGCACCACCAUUGCCAUUGCCGUUGACGUCGCCGUCCGUUGGAGGUAAGGUUCUUCGAACCCCUUCUUUUUUUUUGUGUUGAUCGGGCCACCGAGGGGUGGAGGGGGUUGCGACAGGAGGGGCCAG